rnacentral:rRNA from 1 species
GAUGAACGCUGGCUACAGGCUUAACACAUGCAAGUCGAGGGGAAACGCCGGGGAAGCUUGCUUCCCCGGGCGUCGACCGGCGCACGGGUGAGUAACGCGUAUCCAACCUGCCUCUGACUGAGGUAUAACCCGUCGAAAGUCGGCCUAAUACCUCAUGGCAUCGUCUGCGGGCAUCCAACGACGAUUAAAGAUUUCAUCGGUCAGGGAUGGGGAUGCGUCUGAUUAGCUUGUUGGCGGGGUAACGGCCCACCAAGGCUACGAUCAGUAGGGGUUCUGAGAGGAAGGUCCCCCAGAUGGGAACUGGGACACGGUCCAAACUCCUACGGGAGGCAGCAGUGAGGAAUAUUGGUCAAUGGGAGGGAGCAUGAACCAGCCAAGUAGCGUGCAGGAUGACGGCCCUAUGGGUUGUAAACUGCUUUUAGGCGGGGAUAAAGUGAGGGACGUGUCCUUCAUUGCAGGUACCGGAUGAAUAAGGACCGGCUAAUUCCGUG